rnacentral:rRNA from 1 species
AGAGUUUGAUCCUGGCUCAGAUUGAACGCUGGCGGCAUGCUUUACACAUGCAAGUCGAACGGCAGCACGGGCUUCGGCCUGGUGGCGAGUGGCGAACGGGUGAGUAAUACAUCGGAACGUACCCAGAAGUGGGGGAUAACGCAGCGAAAGUUGCGCUAAUACCGCAUACGUUCUACGGAAGAAAGUGGGGGAUCUUCGGACCUCAUGCUUUUGGAGCGGCCGAUGUCUGAUUAGCUAGUUGGUGGGGUAAAGGCUCACCAAGGCGACGAUCAGUAGCUGGUCUGAGAGGACGACCAGCCACACUGGAACUGAGACACGGUCCAGACUCCUACGGGAGGCAGCAGUGGGGAAUCUUAGACAAUGGGGGCAACCCUGAUCUAGCCAUGCCGCGUGAGUGAUGAAGGCCUUAGGGUUGUAAAGCUCUUUCAGCUGGGAAGAUAAUGACGGUACCAGCAGAAGAAGCCCCGGCUAACUCCGUGCCAGCAGCCGCGGUAAUACGGAGGAUGCGAGCGUUAUCCGGAUUUAUUGGGUUUAAAGGGUCCGUAGGCGGGUUGAUAAGUCAGCGGUGAAAACCUGCAGCUUAACUGUAGAACUGCCGUUGAUACUGUUAAUCUUGAAUAGUAUUGAAGUAGCUGGAAUGUGUAGUGUAGCGGUGAAAUGCAUAGAUAUUACACAGAACCCCGAUUGCGAAGGCAGGUUACUAAAUACCGAUUGACGCUGAUGGACGAAAGCGUGGGGAGCGAACAGGAUUAGAUACCCUGGUAGUCCACGC